CUGCAGCAUAUGGAGGUUCCCAGGCUAGGGGUCAAAUCAGAGCUACAGCUGCUGGCCUACACCACAGCCACAGCAAUGUGGGAUCUGAGCCGGCUCUGCGACCUACACCACAGCUCAGGGCAACGCCAGAUCCUUAACCCACUGAGUGAGGCCCGGGAUCGAACCUGAUCCUUAUGGAUACUAGUCGGAUUCAUUCCCACUGCAACACAGUGGGAACUCCCCCAGAUUGCUUUUAACAGUGUCCAAGCUCUCCGUGACUGAUGGCAGGGCUUGGUGAUUUCUGCCUGACUUAAUACCCUCCCUCCUUAGAGGAAUCGUGCCCAUUUUUUUUCCCCUCUCAUUGUUCAUAGCUGAGGUCAUCUUUUCCAACGCACAUCCCUUUCCCAUCUCAUGGUUGUCAGAAACCUCAGGAAAUUGUGCUGUAUAUUUUCCCCUCCCUUCUUUAGCUCCAUUUGGGAACAAAGAGAAAUUUCAACUCUGAUCAUGGAGAGUGGUGCACAUAAAAUUAAUAUUGGUCAGAAACCUAGAGUAAUGGUGACAGUGAAGCAAGGAGAAGCACUUAGUACUUCUUGACACCAUUGCUUUCUUCCCUCCCAACACCCCCAAUGAGAAUGUAAGCUCCCUGUGUUCCCCUGUGUUCUCCAUGGAUUCCCAGAGCCUGCAACAGUGCCUGACAUGUAGAAGAGAUCUUCAGUAUAUACUUGUUGAAUGAGCGAAUGAAAAAUGAAAAAAAUAUAUAUAUAUAUUGAAGUUAAAACAGAGAUAUGUCACGAAUUGCAAGUGCUCUUGAUCAGAGUCCCUUUCAGAAUCCCCACAGAAGCCUUCAUCUACCUGCUUUAAUUAAACAUGCUCUUUCUCAAGCAUCAGCAUUCAGAAUAUGUCAAGAUGUAGUUUAUAAACCUAUUUCAUAAUCAUUUUUAUUUUCCAAUUUUUGUCUAAUGAAGAGUGGUACAACACUUUUGCUUUCUACUAUGGCUUCCUGGCAGAUAUGCAGAGAGAAUGCCCAUAUAUUUUGAAUUAAAUGAGUUUCUUUUGGCAAACCUAGAAAUGCAAUAAGCAGCAUUUACUUAUAACAUUUCUGUUGGUAAAAUGUGACCGACGUUCAAAACAACCCCCUUGCAAACUGCUUUUGAAAUACAACCAUUUUUAGUUUCGUGAGCUUCUGUAUUUAGUCUGUGCUUUACUCUCAGACAAUUCUUUAUGGAUUGUAAGUACUUUUUCAGUUGCCUCAUUAGUGGAUGCUUUAUCUUCCUCAGUGUUUUUAAGCCCCCCUGAAGGCAGGGAUUAUGUUUUUCUACUUUUGUUCACCUCUUCAUGGUGCUUAGUACUGCUUUGAACUCAGUAACUACUUGUUGAAUGAAGGAUUUUACUUAAAUGCAAAAUUCUGCAUAAGGUGAUAAGCCCAGAAGACAAUGGAUUAUUUUUUUUGCAAAAAAGGAAACAUCAGUUAUUCAUGCACUCUUCAGUAUUUAGGGCCAGGGCGCUUGAAUGUCAUGUUAGAGACCACAUUUUGUUUAGGCUUGUUAAUCAUUCCUGUUUGUCAAACUUUUUCACAUGAGGUUUUUUUUUUUUUCCCCUUAAUAGCAACAAUACAUGACAGUAAAUCAUAAUUAUAAAAACAUCAGCAUCAUAGGUUUAAAAUAUUUCAUUCUUCAUUAAUUAUAUGUUCCCUCUUCCCCUUAAAUACAUCAUCAGGCAGCAUCAUGAACUAUUAUGUGAAGAAUUUAAUUUGAGUUCAGGAGGUAGCAAGUAAGAUGUUUGUACUUGUUUACUUUAGGAUCUUUUCCAAACUGGGGACUCAGGUGUCAAAAGAGGAAUAAGGACGGAAACUUUUCAUUUCUGAUUAAGGGACAACAAGGACAUUUAGACUCUGUCUUAUGGCAAACUGCUCCUUUCCUUCUGUGGCAAUGUGUUAAAAAUACCUGGGUUCUUAUUUCUUAACCUGAGAGCUGGUUAGUUAUAUAGGCAUUCAGUAUGUAGUUAUUAUUUAAACUGUACAUACAAUCUUCUGUGUAUAAUAUAUAUUUUGCAAUCAAAGAAAAUAUAUAUUAAAAAAAUAUGUAGUCCAAAGAGGGAAACGUCCAUAUUUCACAUUCAUUCAAAAUCAAGAACCAAGUAUCAACUAUUCCUUCUUUUUGGUAAUUAGCAUUCAGAAAGGAAUAAUGUUAACAUCUGAAUGGAGUGUUUAAGAAAUAGUUACAUUUGCAUCUGAAAAGAGGUGUUCUUUGGAAAAUAAAAUUGGUGCUUUCAGAAUUAAAACACGAUAAACCAAACCAAACCAAACAUUUUGCCUGCCUAGAAAAGAUUUCUUUAAAGAUUGCUUCAGGGUCCACCUGAAGACUUUUGUCACAUGGUUCAGCACCCCUCUGGAAUCUUUGAGGUGUUAUAGAAUCAAAGCUGAGCGCACUCCAAAAAGUGAGACAUGUAAGCUGAGAAACCCUAUUCACAGUACCAAAUAGUACAAGCUGAUAUUUAUCAGGGAAGAAUUUCUUUGCUCUUACAGUUUAUUUCAUUUCUCUGAUUUUACCCUCUGUGUAUAUGUGUACACAAUACGGUUGUGGUUUUUUUAUGUAAUUUUUUUUUUCUCAUCAGCAGGAUUGUAAAUGCCUUGAGGACAGGGAUAAUCUAUUGUCUUUCAAGCUCUCUGCGUGUCCUAGCUCAGUGUUAGUCACCUAAUACUUUCGCUUGAUUUGCAAAUGCAUACAUGUCACAUUCUGAUAGCUUGUGACUCCUUUGUCUCAUCCAUUUUAUACUCCAAAGAAUUUGUGCUGGAGAAUAUAAGGAUCACAGUCUCCUGUCCUGAAAUGCGUGUGAUCUGAAAGCAUUAUAACCCUUGAUUGUGAGGUUUGGGGUGUUUGUACAAUGAAAAUGAUUGAAAUAUUAAUAUGAAAUCACGCUGUGAUCUGGAAACUUAUAAAAUAUUUUUGAUUCUAUAAAUCAAUUCUGAAUAUUUUCAGACAUCCAGGGUUAAGUUGAGGUUUUGCUGUUCUGACCCUAAGU
rnacentral:lncRNA from 1 species